rnacentral:rRNA from 1 species
GAUGAACGCUGGCGGCGUGCCUAAUACAUGCAGGUCGAGCGAACGGACGAGAAGCUUGCUUCUCUGAUGUUAGCGGCGGACGGGUGAGUAACACGUGGAUAACCUACCUAUAAGACUGGGAUAACUUCGGGAAACCGUAGCUAAUACCGGAUAAUAUUUUGAACCGCAUGGUUCAAAAGUGAAAGACGGUCUUGCUGUCACUUAUAGAUGGAUCCGCGCUGCAUUAGCUAGUUGGUAAGGUAACGGCUUACCAAGGCAACGAUGCAUAGCCGACCUGAGAGGGUGAUCGGCCACCCUGGAACUGAGACACGGUCCAGACUCCUACGGGAGGCAGCAGUAGGGAAUCUUCCGCAAUGGGCGAAAGCCUGACGGAGCAACGCCGCGUGAGUGAUGAAGGUCUUCGGAUCGUAAAACUCUGUUAUUAGGGAAGAACAUAUGUGUAAGUAACUGUGCACAUCUUGACGGUACCUAAUCAGAAAGCCACGGCUAACUACGUG